CCUACGGGAGGCAGCAGUGGGGAAUAUUGCACAAUGGGGGAAACCCUGAUGCAGCGACGCCGCGUGAGUGAAGAAGCGUUUCGGCGCGUAAAGCUCUGUCAGCGGGGAAGAAACACGGUUCGCGAGAGCCGCGUACGGUACCCGACCAAGAAGCCCCGGCUAACUACGUGCCAGCAGCCGCGGUAAUACGUAGGGGGCAAGCGUUAUCCGGAUUCACUGGGUGUAAAGGGAGCGUAGACGGCGAGACAAGUCUGGAGUGAAAGGACGGGGCCCAACCCCGGGACUGCUCUGGAAACUGCCUGGCUUGAGUACAGGUGAGGUAAGUGGAAUUCCUAGUGUAGCGGUGAAAUGCGUAGAUAUUAGGAGGAACACCAGUUGCGAAGGCGGCUUACUGGACUGUAACUGACGUUGAGGCUCGAAAGCGUGGGGAGCAAACAGGAUUAGAUACCCCUGUAGUC
rnacentral:rRNA from 1 species